rnacentral:lncRNA from 1 species
UCGGCUGCGCUCUCUGCUACGUGUGGCGUCACACGUAGCGGCCAAGAUGGCGCUAGCGGUUGGAGCAGGGGCUCUGCUGCGACCUUUACGGUAGUGAGGUUAGGGACGAUGGGAGAGCAGCUUUGUUCCUGAAGUGCCGUCGAGGAUUAGGAUCGAGUUUCUUCGAUCGUGAGGGCAAUUAUUAGUGGCCUCUAGCCCCCCAGAUGGCAUCUUGAGGAGAGAGAAUCCACGCUACGAGAACUAACAUAGUGGACAUCGCAGUUGUCCGUAGCCGAUUUGCGGGUUACGGAGUUGUUGCAAGUAAAGAAGGGGAAAUCCGAGCGUUCUCGCGUUGGAUUUCCUCCACGUGUGAAGUGGGAAUGGUAGUGAUAUCUCGUGCUAUCUCUGUCAAGGGCAAGAAGGAGAAGGAAUUUAUUUGAGGCCCUACGACGUGGUAGGUGCGGUGGCUCACGCCUGUAAUCCCAACACUUUGGGAGGCCGAGGCAGGCGGAUCAUCUGAGAUCGAGAGUUCGAGACCAGCUUGACCAACAUGGAGAAACCCCGUCUCUACUAAAAGUACAAAAUUAGCCAGGCAUGGUGGCACAUGCCCGUAAUCCCAGCUACUCGGGAGGCUGAGGCAGGAGAGUAGCUUGAGCCCAGGAGGCGGAGGUUGUGGUGAGCCGAGAUCGCGCCAUUGCACAGCCUGGGCAACGAGCGAAACUCCAUCUCAAAAAAAU